GUAGCAUGAUGCUCAUGACACGGAAGUUGCCUUUCUCCUUCCCUUGGAGAAAUCUGAUUCAGGCAGGGGACCUGCAGUUUUCCUUUGCAUACUUUUAAUAGAAAUUAAGUUUAGGCUUCCACGUCGCCUUCUUUGAGUGAAGUGUGACACAUGCAUGAGUUUUAUUUCUCGAACAAGCUUUUCGUGAGUACCUGCCAGGCACCAGGUACUUCCCCUGGGGAAUGUGCAAUCUGGAACCCUGGAGCCCCACUGGUCGGGACUCCUGUGGACAGCCAUGCUCAUCUCUCUGGCCAUCGUCAUUGCCCUCCCCAAGCCCCAUGGCAUCCGGGCCUUAAUUGCCUCCACAAUUCUACGAUUGAUAUUUUCAGUCGGGUUACAACCCACGUUGUUUCUUCUGGGCGCUUUCAAUGUAUGCAAUAAAAUCAUCUUUCUAAUGAGCUUUGUGGGCAACUGUGGGACAUUCACAAGAGGCUACCGAGCCAUGGUUCUGGAUGUUGAGUUCCUCUAUCAUUUGUUGUAUCUGGUGAUCUGUGCCAUGGGGCUCUUUGUCCAUGAAUUCUUCUACAGUCUGCUGCUUUUUGAUUUAGUGUACAGAGAAGAGACUUUGCUUAAUGUCAUUAAAAGUGUCACUCGCAAUGGACGGUCCAUCAUCCUGACAGCAGUUCUGGCUCUGAUCCUCGUUUACCUGUUCUCGAUAGUGGGCUACCUUUUCUUCAAGGAUGACUUUAUCUUGGAAGUAGAUAGGCUGCCCAAUGAAACAGCUGUUCCAGAAACCGGCGAGAGUUUGGCAAGCGAGUUCCUGUUCUCCGAUGUGUGUAGGGUGGAGAGUGGGGAGAACUGCUCCUCUCCUGCACCCAGAGAAGAGCUGGUCCCUGCAGAAGAGACGGAACAGGAUAAAGAGCACACAUGUGAGACGCUGCUGAUGUGCAUUGUCACUGUACUGAGUCACGGGCUGCGGAGCGGGGGUGGAGUAGGAGAUGUGCUCAGGAAGCCGUCCAAAGAGGAGCCCCUGUUUGCUGCUAGAGUUAUUUAUGACCUCUUGUUCUUCUUCAUGGUCAUCAUCAUUGUUCUUAACCUGAUUUUUGGGGUUAUCAUUGACACUUUUGCUGACCUGAGGAGUGAGAAGCAGAAGAAGGAAGAGAUCUUGAAGACCACGUGCUUUAUCUGUGGCUUGGAAAGAGACAAGUUUGACAACAAGACUGUCACCUUUGAAGAGCACAUCAAGGAAGAACACAACAUGUGGCACUAUCUGUGCUUCAUCGUCCUGGUGAAAGUAAAGGACUCCACCGAAUAUACUGGGCCUGAGAGUUAUGUGGCAGAAAUGAUCAAGGAAAGAAACCUUGACUGGUUCCCCAGGAUGAGAGCCAUGUCAUUGGUCAGCAGUGAUUCUGAAGGAGAACAGAAUGAGCUGAGAAACCUGCAGGAGAAGCUGGAGUCCACCAUGAAACUUGUCACGAACCUUUCUGGCCAGCUGUCGGAAUUAAAGGAUCAGAUGACAGAACAAAGGAAGCAGAAACAAAGAAUCGGUCUUCUAGGACAUCCUCCUCACAUGAAUGUCAACCCACAACAACCGGCAUAAGCAAAUGAAAGAAAGGAAUUGUAUUUACCUUUUAUAAUGAUUAUUAGUGUGGGUAUGGCUAAUGAGUUCUGAUUCACCCACGAAGGUUACAUUUAUGCUGAAUACAUUUGUAAAUACUCAGUUUUAUACUGUAUGUAUAUGAUUGCUACUCUAAAGGUUUGGAUAUAUGUAUUGUAAUUAGAAUUGUUGGCAUGAUGACAUUUCAUUUGUGCCAAAAAUAUUGAAAAUGCCUUUUUUGGAAGGACUAACAGAAAGCACCUGAUUUGCACUUGAACCAGAUUAUAGAUUUAAAAGUAUAUGACAUGUAUUUUGUAUUUAAAACUAGAAUAGCCAGUAUUUAUGUUUUUUAUAAAACUGUGCAAUACGAAUUAUGCAAUCACAAUACAUUUGUAGCUCCCGAGUGUCCUAAAGGGAGUGCACUUCUUUGAAGCUGGUGUGUUAAUACUAUGUAAUAAAUGGUUAACUUUCAAAUGAUGCUGCUGCCAAAAUUAUAUUAAUAGUGAGUUUCAGGCCCCUGGGCAUUUUGUACCGUGUAAUUAUCCUCUGGUGAUGCUGUUUCUCGUUAGUGGCAGUAGUGCCUCCGUCUCCUAGUGAUAAUGCUCCAAGUCUAUGAACUGUUAAAUCAGCAUUCAUUUU
rnacentral:sRNA from 1 species